UAAGACCUGGCUUUUGGAAUCACUCCAGGAUUGAAUACUGUUCUUAGCCUGCAGCAGAUAUUUAGCAGACAUGUUCCACCAUGCCUUGCUAAAGAAGAAACCUUUGGCUCUCUGUUCCAGAGGUUCCAGACCAGAACAUCUGUGACCACCACCAAAAUGCCGGUCAGCUCUUCACCACUUCAACGGAUGCCUACAAUGACCAGCUUAAGGGAAAAGGGAAAAGUUUGAUUUUGACUUGCAGUUUUGAAGAGUUUGGCCGUAACAGAGAGCCUACGGCAGCACAGUACACUGCAGCUAGGACAGGCUGCAGAAGGAGUUGGUGGAGCCAGGUACAAAACAUAGAGGGAGGAACAACAAUCCCCUCAAGGAGGCAGAAUUCCGAGCCACCUAAAACCCUCCACCAGGCCCCACCUUCAUGGCCCCAAGCGCGUGGCAAACAUGGCUCUGGCAGCCCUGGCCCUU